AGUGGCGGACGGGUGAGUAAUGUCUGGGAAACUGCCUGAUGGAGGGGGAUAACUACUGGAAACGGUAGCUAAUACCGCAUAACGUCGCAAGACCAAAGAGGGGGACCUUCGGGCCUCUUGCCAUCGGAUGUGCCCAGAUGGGAUUAGCUAGUAGGUGGGGUAACGGCUCACCUAGGCGACGAUCCCUAGCUGGUCUGAGAGGAUGACCAGCCACACUGGAACUGAGACACGGUCCAGACUCCUACGGGAGGCAGCAGUGGGGAAUAUUGCACAAUGGGCGCAAGCCUGAUGCAGCCAUGCCGCGUGUAUGAAGAAGGCCUUCGGGUUGUAAAGUACUUUCAGCGGGGAGGAAGGCGAUAAGGUUAAUAACCUUGUCGAUUGACGUUACCCGCAGAAGAAGCACCGGCUAACUCCGUGCCAGCAGCCGCGGUAAUACGGAGGGUGCAAGCGUUAAUCGGAAUUACUGGGCGUAAAGCGCACGCAGGCGGUCUGUCAAGUCGGAUGUGAAAUCCCCGGGCUCAACCUGGGAACUGCAUUCGAAACUGG
rnacentral:rRNA from 1 species